rnacentral:lncRNA from 1 species
AUCAUAUCAAAACAAAUACAGAUGUUCAAAACUGACAUAAUUAUUUAAAUUUAUUCAAAAGCAGUCUUACAAAAUUUCAAAUAACAUAUGCUUACGUAAGUCAAAUACUUUAAUCAAUCUAACUAAAGGACCAAUAACUGAAGGAAUCGUUGGAAAAUCUAACGCACUCCUCAAUCCCGUGAGAUCAAGCCUCUGGAUCUGAAAAAUGGAGAAAAUAGAAUAAUGAGCUACACUAGCCCAGUAAGCAACAAAAUACCCCAAAGUGGGGUCAGAGCAUAUCAGAUCAAAAUACAGGAUAAUGUCUGGAAUAAAUCAUAAAUAAAAUCAUUUUGUUGUUUUCAAAACAUAUUAUCAUUUUUUCAAAAACUCUUAUACCAGAAUCUCAACAUAAUAGGCUACGACCACGUAACCCAGUGGCAUGGGUUGCACAGAGUGCCAGAAACCGCUAUUGUUAGUCACCGGUGGAAACGGUGUCCAGAAACCACUAUUCUAAUCACCGGUGGCACGGUGUCGAAACCGGUUCCUCACAGAUUACAAGUCGACAGGUCCAACGUAUAAUCCCUAUUGGCGGGGCCAGAAUAGAACAGAACAGAUCAUAGCCAUGCUGAGAAUACAUAUAUAUAAAAAAUAGAUUUCAUAAAUUUUCCACUCAUAGUUUACGGAUUUUAGAACAUAAUUUUCAAAUGAAAUUUAACAUGCCAGACCCAUUUUACUAAAUACAAAACAUAUUUUAGAAUUUAAUCAUUUAUCAAAUAAUUUGAAAAUCACACUUGAAGUAUUAAGUUACUUACCUCUUCUCGCUU